GUUGCCAGAUGAAAUAUGGCUCGAUAGCUCAGUCGGUAGAGCAGAGGACUGAAAAUCCUCGUGUCCCUGGUUCGAUUCCUGGUCGAGCCACCAAAAAAGCAUCUAAGAUACUUAUCUUAGGUGCUUUUUUAUAGUAAGUUAAAUUUUAAAAUGUAAUUAUACUUAAAAUUUAGUUUUUUUUAUGUUAAAAUUAAAC
rnacentral:tRNA from 1 species